GACGAACGCUGGCGGCGUGCUUAACACAUGCAAGUCGAACGGAAAGGCCUCGUUCGGGGGGUACUCGCGUGGCGAACGGGGGAGUAACACGUGAGUAACCUGCCCUUGACUUUGGGAUAACUUCAGGAAACUGGGGCGAAUACCGGAGAGGAGCUCCUGCUGCAUGGGGGGGGGGGGAAAGUUUCGGCGGUUGGGGAUGGACUCGCGGCUUAUCAGCUUGUUGGUGGGGGAGUGGCGUACCAAGGCUUUGACGGGUAGCCGGCCUGGGAGGGUGACCGGCCACAUUGGGACUGGGAUACGGCCCAGACUCCUACGGGGGGCAGCAGUGGGGAAUAUUGCACCAUGGGUGGGAGCCUGAUGCAGCCACGCCGUGGGCGGGAUGACGGCCUUCGGGUUGGAAACCGCUUUCGCUCAUGACGAAGCUUUGUGUGACGGUAGUGGGUAAAGAAGCACCGGCUAACUACGUG
rnacentral:rRNA from 1 species